AAUGAAGUGUCUGAUUAAAGAAUUAUUUUGAUAGAAUAAAGCAUGUAAUAAUAUUACCUUCAUUA
rnacentral:tRNA from 1 species